UCUGUACACAUACAUGAUACAUAUAUUCAUCUUCAUUCAUUCCAAACUGCAAAGCAACCAGUCAACCUCUUUCUCUCAUUAUCUAUUAGGGGAGGAAGAGCAGCGGCGGCAUCCAUAUAGACAUCAACACUCAUCCAUGGCAACUGAGAAUCUGACUAUAAUGACAUUAAAUGUUGAUCUCCACUGCCCAUACUGCUACAAGAAGCUAAGGAAAAUUCUUUGCCAUAUUCCCCAAGUUAUAGAUCGAGUGUAUGAUAUGAACGCAAAUCAAGUGAUGAUCACGGUCGCAAGCUGCAAUCCAGAGAAAAUUCGUGACAAAUUGUGUAGCAAGGGUCGUAAAGUUAUAAAAAGUAUCAUCAUGUAGUAGAUCUGAUCCUAAAGAGGAAGAUCAAAUCUUUCCACUACCAACUUUAUCAUCUCAAAAGGUCUAUUCCUUCAAUUCCAACUAUGUUUCAUUUUUUCAUUUCAUACAUGUUGCUUGUAUUUACUGUGUAUUUAACCUUUGUAUAUACUUUGCUUGAGUUCUGA